UACGUAGGGGCCUAGCGUUGUCCGGAUUUAUUGGGCGUAAAGAGCUCGUAGGCGGUUCGGUAAGUCAGGUGUGAAAUCUCCACGCUCAACGCGGAGGGGCCACCUGAUACUGGCGUGACUCGAGUUCGGUAGGGGAGUGUGGAAUUCCCGGUGUAGCGGUGAAAUGCGCAGAUAUCGGGGGAACACCAGUGGCGAAGGCGGCACUCUGGGCCGGAACUGACGCUGAGGAGCGAAAGCGUGGGUAGCAAACAGG
rnacentral:rRNA from 1 species